ensembl:lncRNA
UUCAGAGAUAGCAUCAUCUUCAGAAAUGAAACACUAUUGCCUUUUUCCCAACUGAAUACAUUUAUUAAAAAUUGACCCAGAGCAUAAUCAUCAUAAGAUUCAUGUGUUGUUUAAUUAAUAUACAAACAAGAGAAGUUUUAUAAACAUGUGUGUUUGUCAGUCAGUGCACCAAUCCCACAUCCCUUAGGCUUGAGGUCCUGUGCCCGUAAUUCCAAACUCAACUGGGUCAACAUCCUGACCUCGCCGGUAUGUGAGAAGCACAGAUGUGUAUAAAAUACAGAGUACCUCUGCCUAAUCCACUGAAUCAUCAUUUCAUCUAAAGUAUUAACAUAUAAUCAAAUUAACAUGUAAAUUGCACUUGUAUGAUUUAUUGCGUAUUCACACAUUCAUAUGUUCGGGUGGUGAAAAUGAGAAAUCAUGGCAAAUCAUUACACAACAAAGUUCGCAUUGAUCAAGGAGCUUUCAAAUAACAUGAUAACAAACUGUUACACUGCAUUUUCAGAAUAGAAACAAAAACUACUGAAGAACAAUUGAAUACAGUGGCUCUGGUUUCUUUUUCUUUCUUUUCUUCGACACUGUGGCAUAAGGUCUUGCGGCUCCUUCAUCAGGGGCUCCGUCUGGAAAUCCACAAAACAAACACGUUUGCACAGAGGGUGAAGGAGUUUGCAAAUCAGGAUUAAAUAAUUAAUAAUGAAUGACAAUAAUUAAUAAUCCAAUGAAUCUCAUAUUAAUUUGUAUUUUGCCUCUUAAUUAGACUUAAGUUGGGAUGUAAAGGGUCUGUGGUUAAGUGUCCUGCCAUCUGGAAUACUGUGUCCUAGGGAUAGCAGGAGGUGUGAUGGCAUAGGCGUCUUUCACCUCUUAUCUCAGGUCAUAUCAGAGUGUCAUUUUAUUCCUUUUACCCCCAUCCCCAUGAUACAGGCCUCUAAAACAUUUUCUCACAUGUAUUUAAACUUGGACUGUUUCAGUGUCUAACCACAGGCCAGGUGAAUCUUCUGAGCAAAACCUUCAACUCUUCCUUGAGGUGCAUCAUUGCAAGAAUAAAGUCUGUUUCCUGAUUGAUCAUUCUCCAUCUGAGUCUCAACCUAUCCGUGGUAUUAGGAAAAACUACCAACAAGGGCAAGUGUGUUAUAAGUUAUCUAGCAUGCACGCAUGUCAAACAAGUAUUGGCC